UGGGGUGCGACCCAAUUAAGUCUUACUCAGAGUAGAUCCCUUAACUUUAAUUGAGCUACACUGAGUAGGACUAGCAUUGGAUGCAACCCA